rnacentral:rRNA from 1 species
AUUGAACGCUGGCGGCAGGCCUAACACAUGCAAGUCGAGCGGAUGAAGGGAGCUUGCUCCUGGAUUCAGCGGCGGACGGGUGAGUAAUGCCUAGGAAUCUGCCUGGUAGUGGGGGAUAACGUCCGGAAACGGGCGCUAAUACCGCAUACGUCCUGAGGGAGAAAGGGGGGGAUCUUCGGACCUCACGCUAUCAGAUGAGCCUAGGUCGGAUUAGCUAGUUGGUGGGGUAAAGGCCUACCAAGGCGACGAUCCGUAACUGGUCUGAGAGGAUGAUCAGUCACACUGGAACUGAGACACGGUCCAGACUCCUACGGGAGGCAGCAGUUGGGAAUAUUGGACAAUGGGCGAAAGCCUGAUCCAGCCAUGCCGCGUGUGUGAAGAAGGUCUUCGGAUUGUAAAGCACUUUAAGUUGGGAGGAAGGGCAGUAAGUUAAUACCUUGCUGUUUUGACGUUACCAACAGAAUAAGCACCGGCUAACUUCGUG